GAGCGGCAGGCAGGCACUUUCGGUUUUUGCCCCUCUUCUCUCCAGGCGAGCCAGCCCCAGUGAUCUUGCGCAGGAAACCUGGGCUCUGUAGGCCAAGAGAGCCCGCCCUCCCCCUAACGCCUCUCCGACAUAAAUUGGGGUCCCUCCCAUUUCUUGGGGUUUCUAGGGGCAGGAGAGUCACCAACCAGCUCGCAGCUUGGAAUUGGUUUUAAGUACUUGUCAACUUCUCCAAAACAGUUUGAAUUCCCAACACUUGGCAUUUAUCUUCACAGAAAUAUCCUCCUGGACAGCACUGGGUUAAAGGGGAAGCAGUCUUUCUGGAUCCCCCAUGAGACCCCUUGUCAUGUCUCCCCUAAGUGCAAUUCUUGUUUCUAUGCAAUUUAAUUCUAGUUUCUCCCUUUUCCAUUGCCCCCCCCCCAAUAUUUGUCCAGCAAAAAGCCUGCUCCAUGCAUUAUUGAAGAGGAGGGGGCUCCAUUUGUUCGGGGGCGGGGGGGCGGAGGGAAGAGCGGAUCCUCAGUUUCAGCCUUGGGGAAAAAAUAGCCCUUUUUCUUCAAAGGCAGGAGUCACAUUCCUUUUGCACUUCUGAUAGGAGCUGCUCCAGAGAACACUAGCUGAAAGUAAAUGUCCUUGAGGGCCCCAGCAUUCUCCUCAUCAUUAAUGCACGGGCAUGGUCAUCCAGGCUUCAGAACCUGCCUGGAAGAGAUGCCGGAAGAAGCAUCAAACACCAGGGAAGCAGAGGACACAAGCUUGGAUGUGAAAUAGCAACACCUUAUGCACUGAAGAAUAAUAAAACAAUGUUUUUAAUUACAAAAGAAAA